AUCCCACCACUGCCACCAU
rnacentral:miRNA from 2 species